ensembl:misc_RNA
GUGAAGGUGCAGAGUUAAAGGUGCAGAGGGCAGCAGAAGAUGUUGCAUAAGAAGCAGCAGUGCAACUUUCCCCACCUUGCCACAUCAGUAAGCCUCAGUCCUGAUCUGAAGGGACCACUUAUAAGGUGAGAGGGUAGUUCAAUCUCUUGGUCAAUUCACUCAUCCUAACUGCU